rnacentral:rRNA from 1 species
UAAUACAUGCAAGUCGAGGGGUAGAGAGAGCUUGCUUUCUUGAGACCGGCGCACGGGUGCGUAACGCGUAUGCAACCUACCUUCAUCUGGGGGAUAGCCCGGAGAAAUCCGGAUUAAUACCGCAUAAAAUCACAGGAUGGCAUUAUCCAAUGAUCAAACAUUUAUGGGAUGGAGAUGGGCAUGCGUGUCAUUAGCUAGUUGGCGGGGUAACGGCCCACCAAGGCGACGAUGACUAGGGGAUCUGAGAGGAUGGCCCCCCACACUGGUACUGAGACACGGACCAGACUCCUACGGGAGGCAGCAGUAAGGAAUAUUGGUCAAUGGAGGCAACUCUGAACCAGCCAUGCCGCGUGCAGGAAGACUGCCCUAUGGGUUGUAAACUGCUUUUAUUCGGGAAUAAACCUAUUUACGUGUAAAUAGCUGAAUGUACCGAAGGAAUAAGGAUCGGCUAACUCCGUGCCAGCAGCCGCGGUAAUACGGAGGAUCCAAGCGUUAUCCGGAUUUAUUGGGUUUAAAGGGUGCGUAGGCGGCCUGUUAAGUCAGGGGUGAAAGACGGUAGCUCAACUAUCGCAGUGCCCUUGAUACUGAUGGGCUUGAAUGGACUAGAGGUAGGCGGAAUGAGACAAGUAGCGGUGAAAUGCAUAGAUAUGUCUCAGAACACCGAUUGCGAAGGCAGCUUACUAUGGUCUUAUUGACGCUGAGGCACGAAAGCGUGGGGAUCAAACAGGAUUAGAUACCCUGGUAGUCCACGCCCUAAACGAUGAACACUCGCUGUUGGCGAUACACAGUCAGCGGCUAAGCGAAAGCGUUAAGUGUUCCACCUGGGGAGUACGCUCGCAAGAGUGAAACUCAAAGGAAUUGACGGGGGCCCGCACAAGCGGAGGAGCAUGUGGUUUAAUUCGAUGAUACGCGAGGAACCUUACCCGGGCUUGAAAGUUAGUGAAUGAUCCAGAGAUGGAUCAGUGAGCAAUCACACGAAACUAGGUGCUGCAUGGCUGUCGUCAGCUCGUGCCGUGAGGUGUUGGGUUAAGUCC